CGCGCGCUAUACAUGCAGUCGAGCGAGAAGGCGUCGCAAGACGCUUGUAAAGCGGCGAACGGGUGAGGAAUACAUGGGUAACCUACCCUUGAGUGGGGAAUAACCAGCCGAAAGGUUGGCUAAUACCGCAUACGAUUCUCGGACCGCGGUUCGGGAAAGAAAGCGCUAUCGUGGGUAGCGCGCUCUUGGAUGGGCUCAUGUCCUAUCAGCUUGUUGGUGAGGUAACGGCUCACCAAGGCUUCGACGGGUAGCUGGUCUGAGAGGACGAUCAGCCACACUGGCACUGCGACACGGGCCAGACUCCUACGGGAGGCAGCAGUAAGGAAUAUUGCGCAAUGGGCGAAAGCCUGACGCAGCGACGCCGCGUGGGGGAUGAAGGUCUUCGGAUUGUAAACCCCUUUCGGGAGGGAAGAUGGAGCGGGAAACCGUUCGGACGGUACCUCCAGAAGAAGCCACGGCUAACUUCGUGCCAGCAGCCGCGGUAAUACGAAGGUGGCAAGCGUUGUUCGGAUUUACUGGGCGUACAGGGUGCGUAGGCGGUUCGGUAAGCCCUCCGUGAAAGCUCUAGGCUUAACCUAGAAAGUGCGGAGGGGACUGCCGGGCUAAAGGACGGGAGAGGAGCGCGGAAUUCCCGGUGUAGCGGUGAAAUGCGUAGAGAUCGGGAGGAAAGGCCGGUGGCGAACGCGGCGCUCUGGAACGUUCCUGACGCUGAGGCACGAAAGCGUGGGGAGCAAACAGGAUUA
rnacentral:rRNA from 1 species